GCCACAGAGCUAGCCGAUUUUUAUACUUAUGCCAAAAGCCCAACUAUAUAUAACUUAAUAAAUUGCUAAAAAUAUUAACUAAAACAUUCUUCCAUCUUAGUAUAGGAGAUAGAAAAGAUACUACCGAGCCACAGAAAAGUACCGCAAGGGAAAGCUGAAAAAGAAAUGAAACAACCCGCUAAAGCACAAAAAAGCAGAGCUUUAACCUCGUACCUUUUGCAUCAUGACUUAACUAGAAUAUUAUAGGCAAAGAGAACUUCAGUCUAAUAUCCCGAAACUAAACGAGCUACUCCGGGACAGCUUAAAGAAGAGCCAACCCGUCUCUGUAGCAAAAGAGUGGGAAGAUCCCCGAGUAGAGGUGACAGACCUAACGAGUUUAGUUAUAGCUGGUUGCUUAGGAAAUGAAUAUAAGUUCAGCCUUACACCCUCCUUGAUCAAAUAAAUAUUUAAGAGCUAAAGAGCCACGUAAGAGUUAAUUAAAGGAGGUACAGCUCCUUUAAAAAGAAAACAACCUUCACAGAUGGGUAAGGAUUAUACUAACUAAGGCACCCUGCCACAGUGGGCUUGAAAGCAGCCAUCUGUAGAGAAAGCGUUGAAGCUCAAGCAGAAUAAAAACCUAUUAUUUUAAUAAAUUAUCCAACCCCGCUAAAAAUACUAAGCCAUUCUAUGUACCCAUAGAAGAGACAAUGCUAAGAUUAGUAAUAGGAAGAUAUGAUCUUCUCCAAGCGCACGUGCACAUCAGACCGGACAACCCACUGAUAAAUAACGAACCCAACAAAAGAGGGAAUCACAAAAUAAAACAUCAACAAGAAAAACACGAGAAAUUUUUAUCGUUAACCCCACACAGGAGCGCAUCACAAGGAAUGACUAAAUGAGGAAAAAGGAACUCGGCAAACACGGGCCUCGCCUGUUUACCAAAAACAUGGCCUCUUGCAAUCUAAACAUAAGAGGUCCAGCCUGCCCAGUGACACACAUGUUAAACGGCCGCAGUAUUUUAACCGCGCUAAGGUAGCGUAAUCACUUGUCUUUUAAAUGAAGACCCGUAUGAAAGGCACCACGAGGGCCCUACUGUCUCCUUCCCCAAGUCUAUGAAAUUGAUCUACCCGUGCAGAAGCGGGUAUAAGCACAUAAGACGAGAAGACCCUAUGGAGCUUCAGACAUAAGUCAACCAUGCCUAUACUCUAAUCACAAAAGAUAUCAAAGCAUAAUGGCACUGACCCACUUGUCUUCGGUUGGGGCGACCAAGGAGGAAAACAUAGCCUCCUAGAAGAAUAAGACUACCAUCUUUAAGAGCCAUGAGCUACUGCUCUAAGCAACAGAAAAUUCUGACUAAUAAGAUCCGGGUACCACCGAUCAACGAACCAAGUUACCCUAGGGAUAACAGCGCAAUCCUUUCUCAGAGCCCGUAUCGACGAAAGGGUUUACGACCUCGAUGUUGGAUCAGGACAUCCUGGUGGCGAAAAUUUUACCAAGGGUUCGUUUGUUCAACGAUUAAAGUCCUACGUGAUCUGAGUUCAGACCGGAGAAAUCCAGGUCAGUUUCUAUCUAUGACAUGACCCUUCCUAGUACGAAAGGACCGGAAGGAAUGAGGCCUAUACUUAUAAGCACGCCUCAUCUCUAAUUAUUGAAAACAACUAAAAUAAUAAAGAGACAUAUUAACCUGCCAAAGAUAAUGGCAA
rnacentral:rRNA from 1 species